GCCAGAGCUGUUACACAAGCCUGAUCUUGAAAAACCAAACCAAGCACCAAAACCGAAAAACAACAACACAUACAUUUAUUACUUUAUGUCUUUGUACUUUGGGGUUUUUAUUGAAGACUUACUUUAUUUUGAAGUGAUCUGUAUCGUGUGGGAAUGUGCACAUGUGAGUGCCCCUGGAGGGCAGGAGAGGUUUCAGAUCCCCUAGUUGUGAGCCAACAUGGCUGCUGGCAAAUCACCUUGAGUCCUCUGCAUUGACACUCUGCUCUCUUAGCCACCGACCAUUCUCUAGCUUUCUAGAAUUUCUUAAUGUGCAUAAACUUCUUUCAUGAUCUUUCAACAUGUAAAGCUUCCCGUGAAAACCACGUGAGUGCCUCCUGAAGAAUGGGGUAAAUGGGAUCUAGUAGUAAAUAAACACAAUGAAGAUCUGUUCAUCUGUAAGAAAGGAUGAAAUCCUUUAGUUUGUGACAGCCUGAAUGGACCGGGGGUGCUGUCUUAAGUGAAAUAGGCCAAAUACAAAGGCACAAGCACUCCAUGAUUUCACCAAUAUGGAAUCCUAGAAUAAUCUUGUCUAGAACUCAACAGUAGACCAGUUGUUAGCGGAGGCUUGGGAGGGAGAACAAGUUCUCUUAAGAAUAGUGUUUCAUUGAAGGGAAUCAGUUAAGAGCCCUUGGUGCCCUGCAAGCAUAGGGCAGACAAUUCUCCCCUGUGAACACUCGUGUGUAGGUGUCCAUGUUCCCAAAUGAGUGUGCUUGGUUGGUAAGUAAUAUUGACCUUUCCCCUUUGCGUAUGCAUUUGUAUGACUCCUGGCAGGAUGUGCCUAUGUGAAUCGAGAUGCUAGCCCAAAUGAAAACAGUUUUUGUGGGAACUUGUUUUCCAGCAAGACAUACUGUGGCUGGUUCUUUCCUAGCCUUGGCCCAACUGGUAAAGUGCUAAGCAUUAUGGGCAAUGACUGAGCAUGUACAAUCUAAAAUGGGUGUGGUCUCAGAACUCAAGUGACGAUGCUGAGGCUUUGGGAGGAAACAACUGAGUCCAGCAGCCGUGAGCAAAUACCCUUAGCAUUGGAAUGUUUGCGGUUCAUCUUUAACUUCUGGUGGCAAAGGCUCUUUCGUUUUCUCUCUCUUCUGGCUCUCUGUAGCAGGACUGGGAUCCUUUGAACUCAGUAAGUUGUACGUUGGUGGAAGAGUCUCAGGAUGUCAGGGCACUUCCUGACACUAAGAGCAGGUGGGUGCUCAAACACAUAAAAGUGAAGUACUGUGUUUGCACUGCAAGCUAAUAAAGAUCAUUCCAGACACAUGGGUGACAUGAAUCUCUGCAGAGUGAGUCAUCCCCUCAUGGUCUCUGCUGAGUUUCCUUAGAUGUACUCACAGCACCUGCAUGCAGUUCAUUCUGCGCAUAUUUCCUGCACAUGGGGAGGGGUGAUGAAAAGCAAGCACACCAUUCAUCUAGGAGACAAAUGGACCCAGAGGAGAGGUGCAGGAGUCCUUGGAAGAGGCAGCCUUGUGCAAUCUGUCUCUUCAAGGUGCCUUUACCAACACAAGCAGACUGCCUCUUGGGAGCCACCUCCCCGGGUAUUCCCAGGAUCCACAGGACAUCGCUUCCACGGAACCAAGGGUGCUUCACGGCUUGUUCGCCUAUAGCAGGCCUCAUAGAUGCUCAGUAGGUAUAUACUGGAUAAAUAAAUGAUCUAGUGAGUUAAUGGACUUGAAAAUAUCCAAGCAGGACAAAGGGAAGCUGAAUGCCACUUCAUCUGUGCUCACUAAGAAUCUCCCUGGUGAGCGAGAAGCAGGAGAACACAGAUACAUAAUCUCUGGGGAGAAAGCCUGUACCACAGAGACUUCUGUUCAGGUCCCUGUGAGCAUUCUGUGAGGAAGAGCAUUCUCCCACGAAGGAGCUUCCCCAUAGAGAGGAAGUGAAACUUCCAAAGGAGAGGAAGUCAAUUUUGAUCUGCUGGGCCUGAUGCCAGAUAUUCUAGCCCAUUAACCAUGACAUGCAACAGGAGAGGCAUCCUAAGGUUCAUUCCGGACGACAUUGCCCUCCUUCUGUGGGUCAGCGGGUGUGACUAACUCAUGGCAACCCAGCCGGGCACAUGUAAAUCUCCUAACUCCUCAGAAGCUUGUGACAUGGGGGCCAUUAAUUCUUCCGCAGAUGAGCAAGGAGCACAAGUUUAUGGAUGAAACCCCCAUGGCUCAUCUGGCUCCAGAGUCUUGGAAAUGUUCCAAUUGUGGUUUGUAACAAUGUUAAAAUAAUUAGUUUUGUCUUAUAUUUUAUUACAAUUUAAAAUUCAAAAUGUCAAGUAUUAUUAAUGACAUGACUAUGGGAAAUAGUCUUUCUUGCUUUCUUUCUUUUGCUUUCUUUUUCAGUUCUCUUUGUGGUUAGAUUAUGUCCUGCUAAAGAUUUAAACUAGGUGACUAUAUUUUUUGUUGUUGCUUGUUUUUGUUGUGUGAGACAUGGUCUCAUGACCUUGUCUGUCCUGGAACUUUAUGUGUAGAUGAGGCUGGCCUCAAAUUCACAGAGAUCUUCCGGCCUCUGCCUCCCAAGUGGUGGGACCGAGAGUGUAUGGCUGCAUGUCUAGCAAGGGGACUGGAUUUUCAUAAGACACUUAACAUAAUCCCCCUCAGUGUCACAGGCUGCAAUCACAGGUUGACUUGUUUCAUUUUUGAAUUUUUACUUCUUCAAAAGAACACUUUUGCUUUGUAGUUAUGAAAAUAUGAAUAUGGUUCAGUGUUAAAUUCACAGAACAUGUUAUAGUCAGAAAAGACCAGUUUCUGUUCCAUUUCUCUCUUCUUCAAGUCUAUGCAAUUGUUAAAUAUGUUUUAAUUUAUCCUCUCACUAUCCUUUUAGUUGGGAGCAAGCAUUUAUAUCCUCACAGGCCACAAGCUUGUGUGCAUAUGUGUGCAUGCAUGUGUGCAACAGCAGAGGUCAGAAGACAGAAUCAGACUCCCUAGAGAGCUGGAGUUCUAGGCUGUUGUGAGUCAUCCAACAUGGGAGCUGAGAGCGGAACUUGGGGCCUGUGAAGGAACAGCCAGCACUCCUAGCCACUGAGCCAUCUCAUCAACUCCGACCCUCCGUCUUCUAAAGACAACCGCAUAACACACACAUUCCUUUUCUACUUUACUUUCUUCACUUCAUGUGCCCUGUAGCAUAAAGAAACAAUUUUAAUUGCUUUACUCUUCCAUUUGUUAGCUAGUCCUCUAGGGGUGCACGGAUGAGUUAAUUCCAGUGUUUUAAAAAAGCCAAACUUUCUGACUGUGAAAGAAAGAUUAAUGUGUAGUGAAUCUGGGCCAUUCAACAAAAGGAAGACUGAAAAGUAUGUGUUCAGCUUUGGCAAUAUGAAGACCUGGGACAUUUUAGCCAAGGACAAACUGUACCCACAGCAUCUGCCCAGCAGGCUGCAGCGCCUGGGUCAGUAAGAGAGGUGCAGUGGCGUGGCACAGACAGAUGCUUGGUGAAGGAAACGGGAUGCUGUCCUUAGUUUCCUCGCCGUGACAAAAAAGCCACUGGAGGAAGGAAAGGUCUGACUGGACUCACAGUGUAAGAGGGAUGCAGUUCAUCAUGGUGGGGGAUGGGCAUGUGGUGUGUGUGGCUGUACAUUUGCAUGUGUGGUAUGGAAGUGUCCUCAGAGACUGAAACAUUCCAUCCUGCAGGAAGCUUCUUAAGUAGGAAGGCAAACAACUCAAAACAGCUUCAAGAAGUCCCAGAAACUGACCAGAUUCACUAGCUCCCUUCCUGCCAGAGUAAGCAAUAAAAGCUUACUGUUACUCUCAGACAGAGAUGCCAAGAAGACUCUGAGACUAGACCAGCUGCCUGGAAGAAGCAGAAAGCAGGCCAGCUACCUGAAAGAGGUUUAGACCAACUGAGGAGCUGGGGAGGAUGCUCCCCAAGCGGCUGAGUGCCUGCAGGCUGUGCAGUGUGCUCCAGGUUCCCAGCUUUGUGAGUCAUCAUUCAUCUGGGACGGGCUUUUGUCAUAUAGCUGUCAUUGAACUAUUUCCUCAUAUAAGUAACGCUAUCAAAACUCACUGGCUCACCAAAUCAGACUUUAGUGGUAUCUGUACUUUGGUUUGUAGUGGAAUCCCUGACUGGGAUGAAUAGAUGUGUGUGUUAUGUCUCCCCAGGAAAAGCUUUAUCAUACAACAGUGUGCGGGGGGGGGGGGGGACAGAACAGGAAGUAAAUGGGAGUCUCAAGGUACACAGUAUAUUUUACUAUAAUGUUUUCUGUCUGUAGUUUUAUUAUGGAAGAUAUUGGAUCCAUGUUCAUUGUUUAUUCUCUAAUUUUUAGAUGUGGGAAGAAUGGCUGGGAAUGUGAGAUGAUCAUUUCUCAAAAGUUACCUUUCCCGGGGCAAUGAGAUGGCUCAGUGGAUAAAAGUGUUUACUGCAGCAUCUAAUGACCUGAGUUUGACCUUGGGAAGAACCUACGUGAUCAGAGAGAACAGACUCCAGCGCCUCCAUCUCUGACCUUCACAUACUUGCCACAGCACGGGAGCACCUUAAAUAAUAAUAAUAAAAAUGUUUUUUCCUGAAGUUCACAGGGUACCAUGAGAAGACUUCCCCUCGCCUAACUCCAGCCCUGCUGAAGUUCUCACUAAUUCCCCCACGGUGUCCGGCUGCUGGGAUCCUGCUGUUUGAAUCCACCGGUCUCAUCAGCCCCCACCAAAAGCGUUUGCUGCACUGGCCUACCUGAGUGCAAUGGCGAACACUGAUUGUGGACGCGGGAGAUAAUUUCCAGUGUUCAUCGGCCAAGGGUUUCUGGAUUGGGUUAGCUGAAGAGAGAGCACCUUGAGUGUGGGUGGCACCAUCCCACGGCAGGGUGCCAGUGACUGAGGGAGCAGGAGCGUGGGAGCUGAGCACCACCAUCAUGUCUCUGGGCUUACCCACGGCAGAUGUCACGUGACCAGCUGUCUCACACUCUGGCUGCCAGGCCUUCCUCACCUUCAUGGACUGCACCAUCAAAUGGUGAACAGCACCAACCUUCCCUCCCUUAUGUAGGUCUGUCAGUAUUUGACCGUCCUGAUGACAGAAGGAACUGGGAAGUGCGGCCGCUGCUCUCUGGAGGAGCCUGCCCAUCUAUGGUCUCUCUUGCGGCUUUACAUAAAACAGUCAAAUUUAACAGCCAUGGCUUUUGGGGGGCAAUCCAAUGUUUCGGUAGUUCUUAUUUUUCUGUUAAGGAUCCCGGAGCAGUAGCUCCAGCCCUUCCUUCCAUGCUGUGAUAACGUCCCAUCACACUUAGAAUAAGUCUGAAGUCCUGGUGAGGGCCCAGACAGGCUCCGGAGCUUGUUCAGGACCUGCUUUGUCCGCACCUCAGCUCAGAGGCCUCAGAGAAGCCUUUCCCACCACCUGCUAAAACAGACCCAUCUAGCCUCUGACAUCCCUAUUACUCAAGGUGACUUUUCUCGACACUUAAAUGACCACGUUUUACGCUAUGUCCUUUGCUCGUGUGUCCCCAGUGAUGACACAUCUGGUAGUCCAAACAGAAGCUUCUGUAUAUCACAGACAGUCCACGGCCACGAGCUGGGCUCAGCGUGCAGCAGGGAAUCCAGCAAAUGCCCACUAGAGAAACCUUUUUCUCUCUCUUAUAUAAUAACAUCCCUAUCUAUUCUUUCUUUAAUUUAAUAUCGAUGGCUAUUGUGGUGAUACAACUAUAAUAAAUUUAAAAUUCAAGUUU